AAAAAAGUUGACAAUAUCACAAAUUCAUCAAAAUAACACCUUACAUUACAUUUGACAGUUUAGUCACUUAGCAGACAUUCUCAUCCAGAGCGACUUACAGUUGGAGCAUUCAUCUUAAAAUAGCAAGGUGAGACAACCACACAUCACAGUCAUAGGAAAUUCUCAGCAACAAAAGAGUAAUCAAAUUAAGAUCCUACAUCUGUACUACACAGUUAUGCUGAGCAAUGCACAGGUGACACUGUUGCUCAUCAUUGCAGAUCAGAUUAAAUGAAAUUUGCUUCGCCAGGGAUGGAUGCAAGCACUGACCUGUGGAGAACUCAGCCAAUGAAUCUGUCUGUGCACCCCCCGGGUUCUGUCACUGAGAACAAGCCUCCUCUACAUGGGGGUUGAGAGGCCAGAGAAACUGAUGCUUAACACUUACCUGACAAGUACUGUAAGCUGAUUCCUUGUCACGUUCUGACCUUUAUUUCCUUUGUUUUUUAUCGUUAUUUAGUAUGGUCAGGGCGUGAGUUGGGGUGGGCAGUCUAUGUUUGUUUUUCUAUGAUUUUGGGGAUUUCUAUGUUUCGGCCUAGUAUGGUUCUCAAUCAGAGGCAGGUGUCAUUAGUUGUCUCUGAUUGAG
ensembl:lncRNA